UGCUCUGCCAGUCUGUCUCAAUUCGGGGCCAAUUCCAAAAGAUGUGCCCUGUUUGGUAUUAGGCUGGAAAGAUACUGUAAAUCGAGUCCCUAUGGCAGUACCCGUGUUCAUCUUGACGCCAAAAGACUGCCCCUCCCUCAACAAGAGCACCCUACCUCUGGGAACCAUCUGUGUAGGAUAUGGCAGGAAAAGAAUAGACAGAUAUGAGGUUGACUCAGGCUCAUCUCUCAUGUGCCAACGAGGACCUGACUCCUGGAUGCUAAUGGGCAUUUCAAUAA